GGAGAGAUAGCUCAAUGGUUAAGAGCACUGGCUGCUGUUCCAGAGGACCUGGGUUUGAUUCCCAGUACCA
rnacentral:tRNA from 1 species